CUCUCCUCAUGAUCAUCAUCCUCCACCUUCAUCCAUGAACAACAUGAUGCUGCAUCUCAUCCCACAGGCUGUAAUAUUAUGUUAUAGUGUGAUAACUAGCGCUCAGGACGAAUCCAACCUGACUGAGAGGCCUUAUGUGGUCCUGCAGAAGCAGAAUCUAGUGACAUUGGGGAGUGUCCUCGCUGUUCUGCUGCUGCUGAUGAUCAUCAUGGCUGUCUGUGUCUACAAACCUCUGACUCGUCGCUGAAACUGGACACAAACAUCAACUGUGAGGGUUAUCUUCUGGUGCAAGCUGCAUUGCGAGUAGAGCCCAGCAGAUGGCAGUACAGCCAGGCAGCUAUCAGCAGCGACACCUUCUGUUAGAUUUGGAAGCCUAAAAUAAAAUAUGCUGCGACUGAACAGCUAAAAAUGACACAUGUAUUUGCAGAUUGUAGUAAAAGCGGAAAAUAUAUGCACCUAACAUCUGUAUCCGCCAGUUUUAGCAAUGGUUAAAAGUGAAGCCGUCAUCACUCCCUAUUAAAACAGGCUCACAUUCAAGGAAAUUGCUGCCUCAAAUAUUCAGCUUGAAAAAAACAUUUUUGCUUAUUUUCAAAAAGUUCAAGCUGAGAGAUUGAACUACAGCAAAGAAGACAUAAGGAUAUCAAAGAUUAUCAAGCCAGGGUUUCCUCCUUAAAGGUACACCACAGGGUGGUGUUGCUACCAGUGUAGAGCUUGCUCAAAAUUGGCAGCAGAUGGGUGUGAGCAUGUUUGCAUGCACUGUGAGACAAAGACUGUUGGAUAACGACCUUGUAACAAGUAUGGCUGCAAAGAAGCUGCUUUGGUCCAAGGAAAACAUCAAGGCCGACUGGGUUUCAACAGGAAGUACAAGGAGUGGACUCCACAGGACUGGAACAAAACUAUUUUCUCUCAUGGAUCCAUCUUGUCUACGAAAUCUGGAAAAUCUUUAGUCCAGAGAAGAAAGCAGAAGUGGUGUCAUGAUCAGCAUUAUAUUGUGUCAGCUGCGACAGAUCAUAAUAUUGUCCUCCUUCCAGCAUUCCAAGCACAUUUCGAUGAUAAUCAGGAUGUUUUCCAACAUGACGGAGCACCGAGCCACAAGGCACAAAUGAUCAUGAAGUGGCUCAGAAAUUAUGGUGUUGAAUAUUUGAACCUGUGGCCAGAAAUGUGUCAAGAUCUUACUCCUGUUAAGAAAAUGCGUUAAUUUUGCAAAAAUAAUAAUAAAAAUAAUAAUAGGUGAGAUUCACCUAUUGCAAAAAAAGAAAAAUCUUUCUAUUUUACAGCAGCUUGGCAGUGAACAGCAACAUGUGGGGGAGGGUCUAUGCUAUACUCCAUGGAGCUUGAGGAAAAACUUACUCUGGUAUUUUAUUUCUCUGUUGCCUCAUUAAAAGGUUUUGGGACUGUAGAAGUAAUUGGGUAAAAACUUCUAGUGGUUUAGACCUACCUUUAUAUAAGUGACAUAAUAUGGGAUUUUGUAAUUGUUUUGCUCAUAAAAGGCACUGAAAUUUAAGAAAUUAGAUUAGAUUCAUAUGUGAUUAUAGGACUAAUAAGAAGAAAGGCCAUGUUAACUAUAACCAGAAAUUAUGGCCAAUGAAUUUUGAUGACUGGCUUGAUAAGCAGCUAUGAAUCCAAUGAUUUAAUUAUUUUAACUCAUUUUCUGCUGUCCACAAAAGUUUUUUAAUUUGUUUUAUGAUUAAAAGUGUGGAAACAUGUGAAUUUAUUUAUUUUAACCUUCUUAAAAAUUCUGGCCAAGUAGAGAAAAAUGUUUAUUUCUCACUCUCAUUAAGAAAAACAAAAAGAUAAAUCUCUAAAAUUCUGAGAAAUAAAAAGAUUUUACAUAGCUUUAAAGUUGGAUUAUCCUCUUUACAUUGGAUAUGCCAUGACACAUCUGAGAAUUUUUUUUUUUACAAAUUACCAACCACAGUGAUCAGUGCUUCUUUAUGUGCUAUGUUGAAAUGUGUUUAUUACCAAUUCAUUAAACUGUAAAAAAAUC